GACGAACGCUGGCGGCGUGCUUAACACAUGCAAGUCGAACGGAAAGGCCCUGCUUUUGUGGGGUGCUCGAGUGGCGAACGGGUGAGUAACACGUGGGUAACCUGCCCUUGACUUUGGGAUAACUUCAGGAAACUGGGGCUAAUACCGGAUAGGAGCUCCUGCUGCAUGGUGGGGGUUGGAAAGUUUCGGCGGUUGGGGAUGGACUCGCGGCUUAUCAGCUUGUUGGUGGGGUAGUGGCUUACCAAGGCUUUGACGGGUAGCCGGCCUGAGAGGGUGACCGGCCACAUUGGGACUGAGAUACGGCCCAGACUCCUACGGGAGGCAGCAGUGGGGAAUAUUGCACAAUGGGCGGAAGCCUGAUGCAGCAACGCCGCGUGCGGGAUGACGGCCUUCGGGCUGUAAACCGCUUUCGCCUGUGACGAAGCGUGAGUGACGGUAAUGGGUAAAGAAGCACCGGCUAACUACGUG
rnacentral:rRNA from 1 species